rnacentral:tRNA from 1 species
GGCUUGUGGCUCAGAGGAAGAGCAUUCACCUCGUACACGUGAGGCCUGGGUUCGAUCCUCAGCACCA